UUAAUUUUAAUAAUCCAUUUGUAUUGCUAAAUUGGUGUUAUUAUUUAAAAAAAAAAAUCAUUCUAUAGUAUAGAACUAGUAAAGUUAGUGAUUUUUAUAUUUAGUUUUUAGUAUAUUUAUCAAUAGAUUAUAUAGUAUAAUGGUUAAGUGGAAUGAUGUGUGGUUGGAAAAGUUAGAUAAAAAUCUAGUGAAAAUCUAAUUAUGGGCUAAAAAAAGAAACUCUGAAUACGCUAUCUGUAAACUAUGCAAAAGUGAUUUAAAAUUCAGUUUAGUUGGUUUCCAAGCACUAUAUCAGCAUUCUUCAAAACCUAAACAUAAGUCAGUGUCUGAUCUAAGAUUUUCAAAAACUGCUUGUCAUUUAUAUGUAGAUUCUAACAAAAACUCGAUUGGGGGAGAAAACGUUAUACAAUUAGAGUUCUCUAUAAAUGAAUAAAUUUCUGCUGCAGAAGCCAUGUGGCUUUUUAAAGUGGCAGAUAAUGAUCUUGCCUUAAGACAUUGUGACAACACACCAAUAUUGUUCCAAAGAAUGUUUCCAGAUAGUAAAAUAAGUCAAUGUUUUACUAUGAGUCGGCAAAAAGCUUCAUAUAUUUUGCAAGAAGGCCUUGGGCCAUUGUUGGAAAAGCGUUUAGUAAUAGUAUCGCGUUAAGUCAAGAUGCAUUCACUUUAAUGUUUGAUGAAACAACUACUUCACAACAAAGAAAACAAAUGGAUCUUUUAUGUCGUUUUUGGUCAGAAGACGAAAACCAAGUUGUUACAAAAUAUUUAACAUCGCUGUUCUUUGGCAGAGCAACAGCAGAAGAUGUCAAAACAAUGCUAGCAGAUUUAUGUCAUAAUGAAAGGUUUUAUUUACCAUGGGAUCGUCUUUUUAAUAUUUCAGCAGAUGGUCUUAAUAUUAACAAAGCCAUUUGGAGAUUGUUAAAUGCUGAUCUUCAUAGUAAUGGUUUUAAUGGCUUGUUACCAUUUGUAAGUUGCACUUUGCACACAGUGCAUAAUGCUUUUUGAAAAGCAAUUAAUGUUGUCGGUGAGGAUGCUGAGCAGCUUGCAUUUGGUUUACAUAACUGGUUCAAGGUGAACAAAAUAUCAUGUGAAAAAAAAAGAUUUGUCUUCUUACAGCAAAUGAGAGAUGGAUAUAUAUCUGUUGUAAAACACUUGCAAAAAAAACUUCCACUUGAUUUGCAGAUAUUAAAAGAUAUAACUUGUUUGGGUGCUCAAAUGAGAUCAGAACCUUGGACUGUUAAUGCAAUUGGGCGAAUAGCAGUUAGGAUGCCACAUGUAAUUACGGAAAGGGAGGUAUCAUUUGUGAAAGAUGAUAAUUAUACCAAGAUGGAAAUUAUAGAUGGAAAAUAUACCAAGCAGCUAAUUUAUCAAAAGACUGG